UCGAAGCAACGCGGAAGAACCUUACCAGGUCUUGACAUCCUCUGCCAAUCCUAGAGAUAGGAUGUUCCCUUCGGGGACAGAGUGACAGGUGGUGCAUGGUUGUCGUCAGCUCGUGUCGUGAGAUGUUGGGUUAAGUCCCGCAACGAGCGCAACCCUUGAUCUUAGUUGCCAGCAUUUAGUUGGGCACUCUAAGGUGACUGCCGGUGACAAACCGGAGGAAGGUGGGGAUGACGUCAAAUCAUCAUGCCCCUUAUGACCUGGGCUACACACGUGCUACAAUGGAUGGAACAAAGGGCAGCGAAGCCGYGAGGUCAAGCAAAUCCCAUAAAACCAUUCUCAGUUCGGAUUGCAGGCUGCAACUCGCCUGC
rnacentral:rRNA from 1 species